GUAGUUCUAGACCCUACUGCUUCUAGACUGGUUUCUUCCCGCCCCCACAAUUCCCCCAGCCGUCUACGGACUCUGAAGUUGCUGUGGACUGAGCCCCGAGCAUACGGAGUUACAGUAGGGAGAGGACGGGACGCCGCUCAGAAGCUUCUAGAGUUUGGCAACGGCGCGAGCAGCGCGCUUGAGCGGGUGGCUGGGCGGCCCCUGCUGCAUCCGCACGUCUCAGGACGCGCUGGGGGUAAGCGCGUAGUGCGCCACUCAAGUUUGAGCUAGCUUCUCCACAGGACACUUGCAUUCUGGUCUGCCUUGUGGUGAGCCUGGACAAGCAGGCUUUGCCCUGCAUUGUGAGAAGCUUGCAGCUUUGAAGAAUAAGCAAAUCAUAGGGGCAUUUCAGGAAACUCAUUUGGCCACAGGUCAAGCCACACUGUUCAGGUCAGCUUUAUGAGUAAAUAAAGCUGAUAUUUUAAUCAGUGGUCUGCCUCCUGGUGUUAUUACUCAGUUGGUUUCAAACUCUAAAGUAGAGAACAGGCAUAUUCUUUUUUGGCCUCCCCAACCCCCAGCGAAGGACAGAAGACCUUGGUAUGAGUCAGUCUGGAAGAAGGAGCUGGGCUCAGGGGUCACUUUGGCAUUGAAGCCUCAGGGUCCUUUUUGUCACAGGGCCCUUAAGCAAUGUAGCAGUCACUGUUGAUCUGGAGGCCUUAAAAACAGGUUUUGUCUCCUAACUUCAAAAAUACAUUGAAUACUCAAGACCCACCCUUGGUAAAGAGAAAGAAGUAGAUCGAGGACAUCCCUGUUUCGUUAAUUUGUAUGAGGGUCAGAGUCGGGCUAGAUACCUAGAGGGAACUGAGCUUAGAAACACAAGAAAAGCUGCUUCCAUAGAUUUUCACUACUCUUCAAUUAUAUACGUGUGUGAGCUUUCUGCCUUUGGCUCAAGCUGCUUCUCUUUCUGGAAUUCCUUUCCUCCAUUAUUUACACCUGUCAUAAUCCAAGAAAAGGGAACAUCUUUUCUCCUAACUGAAUGCUUUUUUUGGUUUCCUAACAAGUUCCUACACAUCAUUUCAGACUACAGGACACCUGCCCAUGGUGAUCCUUCCCCUGACAUUCCCUCCUUGCCCUCCUGGGCUUCGUUAUUCACUGGGUCCUCUGAGAAGUCACUGCACCCUCACAUUCCAUUCUUUCAGCUUCAAGGUUUAAAAGCCCCCCACUAUCUGUCUUCACAUCUGCAACACAUCUCUAUACUCCUGCUUCUUAUUCUAGAUGUGUAGUACAACCUGCCUCAAACACUCUUCCUCCCACCUCUCAACAACCACCUGGCAGUCUUUCAUCCUCUAAUACCCCUUCCAUUUUGUUUCACUCAGAAACCUUCCCUGACCCCAGAAUUAACUGUCCUUUCACCCUCCACCUUGUGACUUCAUAAUUUUUUAACAUACCUAUCAUGGCACCUAACAUACUGAUUGAAAUUUUUUCUUCAUACCCCUAUCUCCUGAACUAUACUAUGGGUUCUUUUACCUCAAGGGCCAUGUUUAUUUAAUUAUUGAACUCUGAACUUAACAGGCACUCAAUAAAUGUUGAAUAAAUGAAUGAAUAGGUGAAUGAUAACAGUUUACAUAUCUGUUCCUCCUACUUUAUUGUUAAGUCUUUGCGGCUAGGAAUAUUGACUCAUUUAUCUCUUAUUCUUAUUAGCUAGUUUAAUGCCUUGCAUAUAAUAGGCACCCAAUAUAUAUUUUUUAUUGAAUGAAUAAAUAAAGCCUUUUGUAAUAUCCCCAACCUGAUACAUCCUUUUCCUUUUUUGAAACCUUGAGCACUUUUUCUUGGAUUUCUCCUGUGGCAUUUUCUUCAGUUUAUAAUUUUCUCAGUGUCUAAUCCCCCUACUCAGUGGUCAGCUCCUUAAGGGCAAGAGGUGAACCUUACUUCCCUCAGUGUCCCUGCAAUGUCUACUGCAGUGCCAGGCAUACAGCAGGUGCUUAAAGUGGAGUUUUCUGAGAAAGAUAAGAGUGCCUGUCACUCAGAUCCCCUGUUCCAGCAACGAGAUGCCCAAGUAAAUGAGAUACAUAUACUGAGUCUCCGACCCUACCCCUUUGCCUUCUACAUGAUUAAUCUUGCCAAAUAGGAAGCAAAAUUGAAAAUACCAUGUUAUUUCAUAUUUGUGUUAGCUGUAAUGCUCUGUACUAAUAAAUGCCCAGUAAAUACAACUUUCAGAUUAAUAAAGGAUAUGAAAUCCAUCAAGAAUGAGUGAGCCCAAAGAUACAAAGAACAGUUGAAAGUGAAAAUCCUAUCAGCUAAUAAAGAAAAAUGGAAAAGCAGGUCGUGCAUUCCCCCUCAGGGAAACAGUGUAAAAAGAACUGGAAAGCAUGUUCUUCUCCAAAAAAGACAGACUGCAAUAUAUGUACUUCAAAUGUGAAAGUCUCUCUAAUUUGGCCAUAGGUAAAUAGAGAAGAGCAAUCCUCAAAAUUAGAAUCUGUUAACAGUUGUGGUGAUUUUUCAUAUGUUCACUUUCUAUAGAGCAUUCCCUCCUCUGCCUUCCUCUAUUUUCCUUUCUUUCUUUUAACAUAUCUUUAUUGAGCACUAAUGAUGUGCUAGGCACUCAUUCUUCUGAGUGCUUUAUGUCCAUAAUUUCCCAUAACACUCAUGACAACUCUAUGAUUUGGGUAGCAGUAUCUUCACUUAAAAUGUGACAAAACUGGGACUCAGAUUCAGGAAGUUGCCUAGGGCCUCACAGCCAGUAAGUCCUAGGAUCAUUAUUUGAACCCAGGUCUCAUAACUCUGAAGCUUAUAUGUUGCUUAAUUUCUACAUUAUAAUGCUUCUUUAAACAGUUCAAUGGUUUCAGUCACACAUGGCUUACAAACAACAGAUAAGACAGAUAGUAAAAGUAUAUUAAGUACAGGGUCAAAAGUUAGCAAAGGAUUAACCCUGAAAUAGAGAAAGCCAUCUAUAUUGGGGUGCGAGUAAGAAGGUCAGCAAUGGCUUCCUGGGGGAGGGGUCACUUGAAUUGAGAUAUAAAGGGUAAGUAGAUUUUCCUACAUCAAGCCAGAGGCAUCAUCUGGACCGACAUACAGCAAAUGGAUGAGCCUGGGAAAUGGGAAGCAGGAUGGGAAUUCCUACACGUUCAAGGAACAGUUCUUUAUUACAUCUGAGAUUCAGAUGUCAGAUGGAGUUAUUCUGACCCUUCAGAUGCAGAGACAUUCCCUGCUGGCCCUGUCAGAAAUGGAGGAGACAUGAUUUUACGGAAUUGAAAAAUCUUAGGAUUCGUCACCAAACUUUAAUGCUGAAAAGCCUGGAGUGUCAUCUGGACUAACCCCUGCAUCUUACAGGAGAAGAGACUGAUCCUGGAGCGGGAAAAGGACUUACCCCAAAUCUCUCCAGUCGGUGGCAAAGCCUGUACAAACCGAGGGCUGCCUUCACUCAUUUGGGGUUAUUAGUAGACUGGAGGAACAAAAGGUAAGAAAGAGAGGGGCACAGGCCACAGGAAGAAGUGUUAUUUUGUACACAUCUGGUUUUAGUCCUCAUCCUAGACCGUGUUCCCCGCCCCUAAACUGGUGGAAUGUUGUCAGGAAAGGGAGGACCCCUGGGACAGAUGAGAUAAGUAGGACCACUGAAAACCAUCGCUGGGGGUUGUGUGGUUGGAACUCAAAAUUUCGCCAGACGAUUAAAAGCGUUUCAACGAUUGUGGUUUCUGAGGGCGUGGAAGGCUUUCCCUCCCCGAGCUCCGCGGCGGCGCAGGCCCCGCCCGGUGCCCGGCAGUAACCCCGAGGCGCGCUGCAGCCUCGGCUAUCUUCUACGCAGCCUUUAGAGAAGAGUAAAAAACAGAACGUGCGGCUUGUAUACUUCAAACCUGGUAGUUAGCACCCCUCCCCAGCAGAAAUGGGAACAUUAACUUUGCGCCCACGUGGCUUUUCCGCGGGCGUGUGCUCCGUUGGGGAGCCCGGGAUUCCUUUCUUAACAGCCUUUUGGGGGAAGAAAUGUGGGGAGAUGGCAGAACUAGAUAGGGGCCAGCUGGGGGAGAAAGGGGAGUGGGACAACAGAUGGGUACGAGGAAAUGAUAAGAGAGGACCAAGGCAGGAAUAUACGUGGGGUGUGAUGGCUCAGGAGGCCACGGGGCCCCGCCAGACCCAGAACUGGGCACAUCCGCAAAACCCACACCCGUCAAUUCAGAAGAGAACGGAAUCCACCAAAAAACAAACGCUCUGGACGCUCCACUACAGCCUGAGAGUGGGGGUUGGGGAUGGAAGCGAGCUUCGCGCAGGCGCACAGAGCCCCGCGUCUGCCCUAGAGUUACCCCGAGCGGCGAGCCGGGCAAACUAGGUGAAAGGUAACUAGCAGGCGCUACCCCGGGCGAGGGCCUAGACGCCCGAGCACAGCCAGACGGGCGCGGCGGGCCCAAUAGUUCCUUCUUUCCCAAGUUUCUCCUAGCCUGCACUUCAUCGAACUGUGGGUGUGGCUGGGAACGGAACAGGAGGCGAUGGGGUGGGGGUUGGGAAUAUCAAGCAGACGGACAAAUCUUGGCACUCAACCCUCCCAGAGGAAAUGAGGUCCUGGGGUGGUGCAGGGGAGGGAAACUUACUGAACCUCAUUUGUGUGCCUGACAAGGUGCUGGACCUGUCGCUGCAUUAUUAUAAUUGCCGCAAUGCUUUUAAGAGGAAACAGGCGCGAUAAAUUCAUGUAACUUGCCCAAGGACAGCCAAUCAAUAAAAGGCAAUUUCCGCAAAUUUCCCUGAUUCGAGGUUGCUUUUGUUUGGUUAGUUUUGCCCUAGUGCUAAUAACUGACAGGUGUAGCACACUUUACAUGACACCCUUUACAUUAUUCAUUGGAUCCUUACCUGAAACGUACAGAUAUGUACUAUUUUGUAGGUGCGGGGAGAAACAGACUCAAGAAAUUGUUCUGAGAUCACACAGAAAUUAGCAAAGUUGAGAUUCUGUACAUUAUGGAGGAAUAAAAAGCUCAAAGAUCAAGAUCAGAUUCCCACCCCCUAUCAAGCAGACCUAUGAAGAACAUGAGAGUUUCAAGCACUACUGGAUGAGGGUCUCAGGCCACGAGGAAAACAAGGGAGUUCUCAUCACUGGAAGUUUCCUUUGAUUGCAGGUUUCAUUACAGAAUAAAAAGUGAGCACCCAUUCUGGGAGAUAUUUGGAUGUUUAGCUAUCUCUUUGAAGGCAGGAACAGAGUCCACUGCUCAUGGUUUGCUUCAGUGGGUUUUCGAUGGGUGAGUUUAUAACUGAAUGAACACAUUUUCAAUCCCAGGCUACCCCAGAGGGAAGCUGCAGUUGUGUCUGGCAAUGGAUGAAGUGACUACUUUCUUGUGGCUUUUCCCAGAUGAAGGCUCUUGCACUCAUUCAGCAAACACACUUAGCACCUACUCUGCUGUGCACACAGCUAGGAAACAGGAUGGGAGCUUCAGAGGGCAGAAAUGCCCGCUUCUCCUGAAAAUUCCAGGCUAAGUCUUAGACAUCUGGGAGUUUGCCCACCUCCAUGCUCGUGGAAGCCACAGGGUUUCCUGUGAGGGGCAUAGGAUCAAAUCACAGUUCUCCCACCCGUGGGUGCCCCCGAUGUUCCUCAGAAUCACAAAACAAAAGCAGCUCUGCUCUUCUCCUAAAGAGGCCUUGGAAACAGGCAACUACCAAAAGGGAAAUGCAAGCAAAGCAGAAAAAGCUUCAGAGCAGCCAAUCAACCCCCUCCCACCCUCAUCUCUUUCCACGAAUCCCUCCCCUUGAAUGUCCAGUCAGGGAAUUGGAAUGUCACUGCCUUGUGCCCCAAGACUGUGUUACUGCUCAGGCUGAUUAAGACAAAGACGGCAAUUGGACUGAAUUUGCCCUAACAUAACCCUGCCUUGCAGCCUCCCUGAGGUGACCGGGUGAGAUCAUGUGCUGCCCGAUGCUGUCAAGAUACUUCUGUGAUUGCCUGCCUGGUGGUGUUGAAAGGAAGAAAGCUGCUUAAGGAUUACACCAUCAUCCUGUUGAGAGUCUUGUGUGCUAAAAACUUCAGCCACACUGGUCUCUUUGCUAGAUACUUUAACUUGAAUCUAUCCAUAUUAUUCUCUACAGCCCAAGGCAGUAAGUGGUGUGAUACCCAUUUUGCAACUGAGGCCUAUAAGGGGGUAAGUGAUUUCCCCGCAUAAUACACCCAAUAAAAGGCAUGGGUGGAACUCAACAUCAUUCACUGCUCUAGGCAUUUGGAUCUAACACCCCAGUGGGGCAGGUACUUGGAGCUGGCUGGGAAAACUGUCCCUAGGUUUCUCACUUUCUUCCCUAUUUAUCUCAGAAAUAUUUCAAUAAAAGUAUAGAAAAGAAAAACUCCAUGCCUUACACAUGGUUAAAUAGUAAGUGACUUAAUAGAGGAAUGAAUGAAUAGGAUGAAUGAAGAUGGAGAAUGAGAUGUCAGAGUCCAGCCUCCUUGGGGUGAAGAUGCAAAGGGCUGUGAUCUUAAAAUCUACCUACAGAGGACAAACUCUGGUCACUCUGGAAAGUUGUAAAUAAUUAGCGUGAGCCUUGUUUCUUUCCCUAGCCUCAUGGCAAUUCUAAAGAAAUAAUAGAGAGGAAAGCCAAGUCUCUGAGACAUUUCCCGAAUAAUCCAAAAAUGCUCAAGUGUCAAGGAAUUUCCCACACAGCAUCCAAGUCUAACCCAUUCUGCUCUUUGUCCUUCACACUUGAAUACACUGUAAUGGCUACACAGAACAUUUUAAUUCCCAAAGUUUUUUUUUUCUCCCAGUGUUGUCUGGGAAAAACUGUAAAAAAGAAACAAGAAGCUUAAAUUCAUACUAAACCUUCCUAAAUCAUUUCAUGAACCUUGGGGGAACCAGCAGUUAGUAAUUCUGAGAGCACAGAAGAGGAGCCAGGUGACUGGGUCCUAAUCCUGUUUCUACCUUGGAGCCUUAGCUAAGUCAUUUCCCUCUCUGAGCCUCUGGUUCUGCCCCUGUAAAUUUAGAGAUUUGGAUUAGUUGAUCCUUGGGUUCCUUUUUAAUUAUCAACCACCUCUAGUAUGUAUUUAGAGUUAUGCCACCUGCCCCCAAAGCAGGAAGAAUUUUGAAGCCAAUAUUUUAGAAACCUCAGCAAAAGACGACCUGUAAAACACUGACGCUUGUCAAAAUUCAGGCACAAAUGCCAAUUACAAUCCAAUAAUAAAGCCAAAUUCAGGAAAAUAUGUACUUGAGAACAAUGAAUUCAUCAUCUAGUUCUUCGACAAAAGUUACUAAAUUUAACUUUUUUGUGCUCUAUUUAUUUUAUAAAUUUUGCUGUGUGUUGAAUACUUUUUUAAGGGAGCAAGCAUAUUUUAUUAAAAUACUGUGCUUUUAUUAGUUGGAGAAACAAUGAAUUUGCAUGCCUUUCUGCAUAUAAAUGUAUAUUAGAUAAUAAGGACUUUUAGAGUCAGUAGCUAGGAAGAAUAACAAGUAUAUUUAUGAAUGAACUUUUUUUUACAUGAAUGAACUAGGAAAUGGCUGAGAUGGUAUAGUAGACAUGACUGGUACCCUGUUGGUACCCGUCUAUCACCCAGCUUCUGUGAGUGUUCAUGUUAAUGGCUCACAGAAAUUGCCCUCUGCAGAAUGGGGAGUUCACUCUCUCAGGAGGUUAUGUUUCCCUCACCCUCAGACUGCAGCCAAAAACUGAUUGAUAAGGGACUAAAAUAUCUCCACCUCACCUCAGGAUGGGACCAACUCUGCAGUGUGACUUACGCUCCACAGUUCCCCUUGGGUCAGGCCGAGGCUACACUUUACCUGAAGUAACAUCUUUACCGACUGCUUGCCCUUCCCAUUCUGUUUCCUCAUUUCCUUACAAGUUUCUUUGGUGAGCACUCCCACAAAAAAAUCACUCAUACCCAAAUCCCUAUCUCAGGUUGUUUCUAGGACACUUAAGACAAUAAUGUGCUGUUUUUAUGAGUGGCCAGUAAUGAAAACUCCAUUUAAGUUUCUCUCAUUCAUCCAUCCCAUCAAUAUUUAUUGAAUUACAUAGUAUGCAUCUGUCUUGCCAAUGGGUUUCAGUCCCAGGCAACUUCACUAAGGAUUCAGUGUGACCAAAGAAAUGACAGUAGAACAUUCUUAGGUUGAACGGGUUAUACCCAACUUUAUUUCCACAGUGGCAGGUCAAUCACUAAAAUCUCGUCCACUCAGAGCGAGUCUGCAUGCAGCAAGCUGGUCUCUGCCUAUGGGCCUCCAUCCCCUGGGCCUCCAGCCUCUGCUCUGCUCUCCCACAGCCGUGCCACCAUGUCACCCAGAGCACUGGGCAGAGCUCUUUAUUUAUAGAGUCAAUAGCAACAUAUUCCCCACAUGUGUGUAAUUAGCCAGCCAACCAGGGCCAGGUGAGAAUCCUGGUCACAGGAACUUUCAUUUAAUCCACAGCAUCAGACACUGUUUCAGAUAUUAAAUGUCUCGCCUGAGGGUUUCAACCCUGGGUAAGUUCACUCUGGAUUUGGAGAGACUGAAAAAUGACAGCAGAACAUUGAGGGUAAAAGGAUUUAUCCCCAGUUUUAUUCUUGUGGUGGCAGGUCAAGCACUAGAAUCCCAUCCGCCUCAGGGCAAGUCUGCGUACAGCAAGCUUGUCUAUUGCCUCCGGGCCUCUCCACCACCUCACAGCCCCAGAGCACUGGGCAGAGCUCUUUAUAUAGAGUCAAUAACAACUCAUUGCCCACAUGUGUGCAAGCAUGCACUUGUACUCAUUGCACAUGCACAGUGGGAAAGCAGACCAGGGUCAGGUGAAAAUCCUGGCCAUGGAACUUCCAUUUUCCCUACACUAAAGAUACUUAAAAUGGGUAAGAUAGACAUUGCCCCUUCAAUAAACAACAAUAAAUGCUGUUUAUUUUAUAAUGUGCAGACACAUCAUGAUAAUAAAUGAAGCAAAAUAAUCAUUAAAAAUUAAGAUAUUUAGGGGUUUUUUUUUAAACUGUGUUUCUGGAUCAUGUUCUAUGAUCAUUAAAUAAAUGUUCAAAAUUCUAAUAUGUAUUUUUUUCUGUUGUGUAAGCCUUUGACUCAAUGAUUCUAUAUCAAAGAAUUCACUGUACAGAUAAACCCACACCUCUGCUUAAAGACAUAGACAAGGCUGUUUAUAGUAGCAUUGUUUGUAACAGCAAAAGAUAGGAAACAGAUUAAAUGUUCAUCAACAGAGGACUGACUAAACAAUUAUGUCCAUCCACACUAGGGAAUACUAUGUAGCCAUUAAUUAAAAAAGAAUGAGGUAGCUGUAUAUUUAUUAAUAUGGAAUGAUCUGCAGAAGUACUGCUAAAUGAAAAAGUGAAGUAUAAAGCAGUGUUUUUAGUUUUCUUCUAUUUGUGAAGAAAUGAAUGUGAAUACACGCCCAAAUACCAUACACACAAUUCCUACACUAUAGAAUCUCUAGAAUGAUGCAAAAAAAACUAUUAAUAGUGUUUCUAUGUAGAGGAACUAGACCUGGAUUUCUUUUCAUUCCACAUUUAGUUUUAUAAACACAUGCAUUACUAUUGAAUAAAACCAGUUGAUUUAAAAUGUACUACAUACUUAGUUUAGAAACCAUGAAAUACACACAAAAAUAAAAAUCACUUAUAAUCUCACCUCUAAUAUAUACCAUUCUAUAUAUUUUGGUGUAUUUCCUUUCUGUCUUCCUUGUAUUUGAAGACAUAAUUUUUUUUCUUAUA